UACGAAGGGGGCUAGCGUUGCUCGGAAUCACUGGGCGUAAAGCGCACGUAGGCGGAUCCUUAAGUCGGGGGUGAAAUCCUGGAGCUCAACUCCAGAACUGCCUUCGAUACUGAGGAUCUCGAGUCCGGGAGAGGUGAGUGGAACUGCGAGUGUAGAGGUGAAAUUCGUAGAUAUUAGGAAGAACACCAGUGGCGAAGGCGGCUCACUGGUCCGGUACUGACGCUGAGGUGCGAAAGCGUGGGGAGCAAACAGG
rnacentral:rRNA from 1 species